GAUGAACGCUAGCUACAGGCUUAACACAUGCAAGUCGAGGGGUUUCAAAGGAGCUUGCUCCCGCGGAACGACCGGCGCACGGGUGAGUAACGCGUAUCCAACCUGCCCUUCAUAUUGGUAUAGCCUCCCGAAAGGGAGAUUAAUCCCGAAUGCCAUAUCAUAGUUGCCUGACGAUGAUAUGAAAGCUCCGGCGAUGAAGGAUGGGGAUGCGUUCCAUUAGGUAGUAGGCGGGGUAACGGCCCACCUAGCCGACGAUGGAUAGGGGUUCUGAGAGGAAGGUCCCCCACACUGGAACUGAGACACGGUCCAGACUCCUACGGGAGGCAGCAGUGAGGAAUGUUGGUCAAUGGUCUGACGACUGAACCAGCCAUGCCGCGUGAAGGUGACGGCCCUAUGGGGUCUUAAACUUCUUUUGUAAGGGAGCAAUAAGGUCUACGUGUAGGCUGAUGAGAGUACCUUACGAAUAAGCAUCGGCUAACUCCGUGCCAGCAGCCGACGG
rnacentral:rRNA from 1 species